UGGGGAAUAUUGCACAAUGGGGGAAACCCUGAUGCAGCGACGCCGCGUGAGCGAAGAAGGUUUUCGAAUCGUAAAGCUCUGUCCCAUGGGAAGAUAAUGACGGUACCAUAGGAGGAAGCCCCGGCUAACUACGUGCCAGCAGCCGCGGUAAUACGAAGGGGGCAAGCGUUGUCCGGAAUCACUGGGCGUAAAGGGUUCGCAGGCGGAAAUGCAAGUCAGUUGUGAAAGGCAGAGGCUCAACCUCUGUAAGCAAUUGAAACUGGAUUUCUGGAGAUGUGGAGAGGCGAGUGGAAUUCCUAGUGUAGCGGUGAAAUGCGUAGAUAUUAGGAAGAAUACCGGUGGCGAAGGCGACUUGCUGGACACAAACUGACGCUGAGGAACGAAAGCGUGGGUAGCAAACAGG
rnacentral:rRNA from 1 species